rnacentral:lncRNA from 1 species
ACAUCCGGUGGUAACAGGGCCCUACACAGACCCGCACUGACCUGGAAAAGCUUCGGGAGCGGCGGCGGGGGAGCAGCGGGAGGAGGUGCGGGGACCGCGGCGCCUCGGAGCCGUCAGGGCAGACGCGGCCCCGCCACACACAGAGCGCUUCGCUGCACAGGGCGCUAUUUUCCGAAAAUGCCGCGUCUGCUCGGCGCCCAAAAUCCCCACCGAAAAGUCCCCGUCGGCGCGGAGGGACACGGCGGCCGAGCUCCCAGCAUGCCUGCGGCGGCCUCGCCAACCCGCGCCCGUUUCCGCCCCACUGGCCCCGGGAGCGAGCCUGCCGCCGCCCUCCCCCAGCCCCGUUCCGGCGGGAGAAAGGGAUGAGAGGGUCUGCUUCUGACUUUAAACGGGGAGAAAGGAAAUAAGCCAUUUCUAGCGUUCGGCCACACAAAGGCUGCGGCGGAAUGAUCCGCGGGGCGACCGCAAGUCCCGGCUCGCCCGGCGCCUGCGCGGCAGCGGGGUGAGCGCUGCGGUGGCCCUGUGCGCGGCUGGGUGUUCCGCGCCGCGUCGCGGGGCGGGGUGGGGCCUGUGCGGGAACAAAGGAUGCCUGUCCUCUUCACCUGGUGUAAACUGGUCGUGUGUGACGUGGAUGUUUCUGUGGCUUUUUUUUUUUUUAAUGUUGUAAUAGUGACGCUUUUCUCCUGUCUGUAUUGUCAGGAUUUUUGUUGAUUUGUUUUCGAGGCAAGGUUUCUCUGUAACAGCCCUGCCUGACCUGGAACUGGCUUUGUAGACCAGGGUGGCCUCAAACUCAAAAGAAUCCGCCUGCCUCUGCCUCUCAAUUGUUGGGAUUAAAGGCGCGUACCACCAUGCCUAGUGACGUAUUUUACUUUCAAUGAACCAAGAGUUGAUUGGGAGAUGAUGAUUUGUGAAGGAAAAGCCUUAUAAAUUUACUUCACAUGCGAUUUUCAAAGUUCCACUUUGAUAUAUUUCACCGAAAAGUCCACUACCCGUGGAACUUUUGGCGUCAGGUAUCUAGGAAUGAGAAUAUCGGAGACAACCGAGAAUAACCUAGGAGCAAAAUGGCUUAAAUGAGAUCCAAAUUGUUUACAGACUUCAUUUGUGUUUGUGUGUGUCUGUCCUCAGAUAAGGACACUUGCCCUUAUUUUUUGGUUUUUCGAGACCGGGUUUCUCUGUAUAGCCCCUGGCUGUCCUGGAACUCACUUUGUAGACCAGGCUGGCCUCGAACUCAGAAAUCUGCCUGCCUCUGCCUCCCGAGUGCUGGGAUUAAAGGCCACCACGCCCGGCUGCCUUUCUUAUUUAUAUAGUGAAAGUUUGUAGCCAGUGUAAGACAUAGCAAAGUAAACAGAAUGGGGAGAGCAUAGUUCAUGUUUUUUCUUUUUAUUUAAUAUUUUAUUUCAGGGGUUUUUGGUUAGGUUUGGUUGGUUGGUUGGUUUUGAGAUAGGGUCUCGCUUUGUGAAGCUCUGACUGCUCUGGAAUUCACUCUGUAGACCAGGCUGGGCUCAAACUUAAAGAGGUCUACCUGCCUCUGCCUCCCAGGUGCUGGGAUUAGAGGGGUGUACCAAUACUGCCAGCUCUUAUGAAUUUUUUUAAAUUGUUAUUCCUUUCCAUAAUAUUUUGAGUAAAUAGUUAAUUGCCUUAAUUGUGCUAUAGCAUCUAGACGAGUAUACAUCAUCAGUGGUUAUGCCAGAAAAGCUGAAUGUGGUGUGAUUGCAGGAAUAUUCCCCUGCCACAAACAGACACACACAGUAACCUUACAGAGGAAUCAAAUAGCUAUAUAAAAGUUAUAUAGAAAUCAGAAAUUGGUGAAGGCCAUCCAGUCGAAGGGAACAGUAAUGCAGAACUAGAGAGAUGAUUUCGAUCAUUCCCAGAAAUGGACCUGUAGAGGUUGAGUGACCUCCUUGAAUGUCUCCUUAAUGAGUUGGUGUUUUUGACUGGUAGCUAUUCAGUAAAAACGCCCCAGGCAUGGAGAAGCAGUAGUUUGGAAAACUGACUACACAGGUUGAGGUAGUCACAAGUAGGAAUCAAGGAAAUCACAACUGCUUGUUAGGAAUUUGGAGAAUGCUUGACUGGAUGUGAGAAUGCCUGAAGGAGAUGUCAAGGAAGGUGACUCAAGUUUGUCAGAGUACUUGAGGGUUGGCAGUGUGUUCACUGAAAAAAGCAAAGGGAGAGGACUGCUAGGGAAGAUGAAGCUUCUGUGUGACCAUGGAAAGCCUAUGGGCCUGUCUAAUCAGCUCUGUUCAUUCCUUCAGCAGUGCUGGAGUGCCCAUUCUUUUUCUCUCUUUUGAGACAGGGUUUCUCUGUGUAGCCCUGACUGUUGUCCUGGAACUCACUUUGUAGACCAGGCUGGCCUCGAACUCAGAAAUCUGCCUGCCUCUGCCUCCCAAGUACUGGGAUUAAAGGCGUGCGCCACCACUGCUCGGUGUGGAGUGCCCAUUCUUAUAGUCCUGUUCUGUGAGCUAGAGAAGAUAAAAGUAGCAGCUAAGAACAUGGCUUCAGCUACUGUUGCUGGUAAAAGGAAGAACAACUAGAGUUUUAAAAUGGAUGAAGGAUAAUAUCCUAUAAUAAUUUCACAAAAUGAAAGGGUAACUGGAUAAAGUAGUUCUCCAAGUGGG